rnacentral:rRNA from 1 species
UGAGGAAUAUUGUGUCAAUGGGCGCAAGCCUGAACCAGCCCGACCGCGUGAAGGAAGACGGCCCUAUGGGUUGUAAACUUCUUUUCUGCACCAAGAAUUGGCCUUACGUGUAAGGUUUUGACGGUAGUGCUGGAAUAAGCAUCGGCUAACUCCGUGCCAGCAGCCGCGGUAAUAA